rnacentral:rRNA from 1 species
GACGAACGCUGGCGGCGUGCUUAACACAUGCAAGUCGAACGGAAAGGCCCGGCUUUUGUGGGGUGCUCGAGUGGCGAACGGGUGAGUAACACGUGAGUAACCUGCCCUUGACUGUGGGAUAACUUCAGGAAACUGGGGCUAAUACCGGAUAGGAGCUCCUGCUGCAUGGUGGGGGUUGGAAAGUUUCGGCGGUUGGGGAUGGACUCGCGGCUUAUCAGCUGGUUGGUGGGGUAGUGGCUUACCAAGGCUUUGACGGGUAGCCGGCCUGAGAGGGUGACCGGCCACCUUGGGCCUGAGAUACGGCCCAGACUCCUACGGGAGGCAGCAGUGGGGAAUAUUGCACAAUGGGCGGAAGCCUGAUGCAGCAACGCCGCGUGCGGGAUGACGGCCUUCGGGUUGCAAACCGCUUUCGCCUGUGCCGAAGCGUGAGUGACGGUAAUGGGUAAAGAAGCACCGGCUAACUACGUG